rnacentral:rRNA from 1 species
GCAAGUCGAGCGGAUGAAGGGAGCUUGCUCCUGGAUUCAGCGGCGGACGGGUGAGUAAUGCCUAGGAAUCUGCCUGGUAGUGGGGGAUAACGUCCGGAAACGGGCGCUAAUACCGCAUACGUCCUGAGGGAGAAAGUGGGGGAUCUUCGGACCUCACGCUAUCAGAUGAGCCUAGGUCGGAUUAGCUAGUUGGUGGGGUAAAGGCCUACCAAGGCGACGAUCCGUAACUGGUCUGAGAGGAUGAUCAGUCACACUGGAACUGAGACACGGUCCAGACUCCUACGGGAGGCAGCAGUGGGGAAUAUUGGACAAUGGGCGAAAGCCUGAUCCAGCCAUGCCGCGUGUGUGAAGAAGGUCUUCGGAUUGUAAAGCACUUUAAGUUGGGAGGAAGGGCAGUAAGUUAAUACCUUGCUGUUUUGACGUUACCAACAGAAUAAGCACCGGCUAACUUCGUGCCAGCAGCCGCGGUAAUACGAAGGGUGCAAGCGUUAAUCGGAAUUACUGGGCGUAAAGCGCGCGUAGGUGGUUCAGCAAGUUGGAUGUGAAAUCCCCGGGCUCAACCUGGGAACUGCAUCCAAAACUACUGAGCUAGAGUACGGUAGAGGGUGGUGGAAUUUCCUGUGUAGCGGUGAAAUGCGUAGAUAUAGGAAGGAACACCAGUGGCGAAGGCGACCACCUGGACUGAUACUGACACUGAGGUGCGAAAGCG